AAAGUCGUAACAAGGUUUCCGUAGGUGAACCUGCGGAAGGAUCAUUAACAAAUCAAGUGUGCUUGCACACAUUAAUCCUUGUGAAUUGUCAAUUUCUUUUUGGAAUUGAAAUUUUAGAUUAGUGAACUGUGGUUCAUUAAAUCAAAAUAUAAACGUCUAAAAAAACAAGACUGAAUCCAAAAUUAAAAAAAAAAUUACAACUUUUAACAAUGGAUCUCUUGGCUCUU
rnacentral:misc_RNA from 1 species